GACGAACGCUGGCGGCGCGCCUAACACAUGCAAGUCGAACGAGCGAGAGAGAGCUUGCUUUCUCGAGCGAGUGGCGAACGGGUGAGUAACGCGUGAGGAACCUGCCUCAAAGAGGGGGACAACAGUUGGAAACGACUGCUAAUACCGCAUAAGCCCACGACCCGGCAUCGGGUUGAGGGAAAAGGAGCAAUCCGCUUUGAGAUGGCCUCGCGUCCGAUUAGCUAGUUGGUGAGGUAACGGCCCACCAAGGCGACGAUCGGUAGCCGGACUGAGAGGUUGAACAGCCACAUUGGGACUGAGACACGGCCCAGACUCCUACGGGAGGCAGCAGUGGGGAAUAUUGCACAAUGGGGGAAACCCUGAUGCAGCGACGCCGCGUGGAGGAAGAAGGUCUUCGGAUUGUAAACUCCUGUUGUUGAGGAAGAUAAUGACGGUACUCAACAAGGAAGUGACGGCUAACUACGUGCCAGCAGCCGCGGUAAAACGUAGGUCACAAGCGUUGUCCGGAAUUACUGGGUGUAAAGGGAGCGCAGGCGGGAAGACAAGUUGGAAGUGAAAUCUAUGGGCUCAACCCCAUAAACUGCUUUCAAAACUGUUUUUCUUGAGUAGUGCAGAGGUAGGCGGAAUUCCCGGUGUAGCGGUGGAAUGCGUAGAUAUCGGGAGGAACACCAGUGGCGAAGGCGGCCUACUGGGCACCAACUGACGCUGAGGCUCGAAAGUGUGGGUAGCAAACAGGAUUAGAUACCCUGGUAGUCCACACCGUAAACGAUGAUUACUAGGUGUUGGAGGAUUGACCCCUUCAGUGCCGCAGUUAACACAAUAAGUAAUCCACCUGGGGAGUACGACCGCAAGGUUGAAACUCAAAGGAAUUGACGGGGGCCCGCACAAGCAGUGGAGUAUGUGGUUUAAUUCGACGCAACGCGAAGAACCUUACCAAGUCUUGACAUCCCUUGACGAACAUAGAAAUAUGUUUUCUCUUCGGAGCAAGGAGACAGGUGGUGCAUGGUUGUCGUCAGCUCGUGUCGUGAGAUGUUGGGUUAAGUCCCGCAACGAGCGCAACCCUUACUGUCAGUUACUACGCAAGAGGACUCUGGCAGGACUGCCGUUGACAAAACGGAGGAAGGUGGGGAUGACGUCAAAUCAUCAUGCCCUUUAUGACUUGGGCUACACACGUACUACAAUGGCGUUAAACAAAGAGAAGCAAGACCGCGAGGUGGAGCAAAACUCAGAAACAACGUCCCAGUUCGGACUGCAGGCUGCAACUCGCCUGCACGAAGUCGGAAUUGCUAGUAAUCGUGGAUCAGCAUGCCACGGUGAAUACGUUCCCGGGCCU
rnacentral:rRNA from 1 species